CCACUCAGACUUUAUUCAAAGACCAGGAAGGGCCGGUGCAAGGAGGGGAGGAGGGCCCGUUGGGAGGCCCAGCGGGCAGGAGGAACGGCUACCGAGGCUCCAGCUUAACGGUAUUUGGAGGUCAGCACGGUGCUCACAGAAGCCAGGAACUUGUCCAGGGAGGCGUGCACCGCAGGGGUGAACUCGGCGGGGAGGUGGGCGGCCAGGGUCACCAGCAGGCAGUGGCUUAGGAGCUGUUUGACCGGGUCCACCCGAAGCUUGUGCGCGUGCAGGUCGCUCAGGGCGGACAGCGCGUUGGGCAUGUCGUCCACGUGCGCCACGGCGUUGGUCAGCGCGUCGGCCACCUUCUUGCCGUGGCCCUUAACCUGGGCAGAGCCGUGGCUCAGGUCGAAGUGCGGGAAGUAGGUCUUGGUGGUGGGGAAGGACAGGAACAUCCUGGCCUCCGCACCAUACUCGCCAGCGUGCGCGCCGACCUUACCCCAGGCGGCCUUGACGUUGGUCUUGUCGGCAGGAGACAGCACCAUGGUGGGUUCUCUCUGAGUCUG
rnacentral:lncRNA from 1 species